rnacentral:rRNA from 1 species
UACGUAGGGACCAAGCGUUGUUCGGAUUUACUGGGCGUAAAGGGCGCGUAGGCGGCUUAACAAGUCACUUGUGAAAUCUCCGGGCUUAACUCGGAACGGCCAAGUGAAACUGUCAAGCUAGAGUGCAGAAGGGGCAAUCGGAAUUCUUGGUGUAGCGGUGAAAUGCGUAGAUAUCUGGAGGAACACCGGUGGCGAAGGCGGCAUCCUGGACCAACACUGACACUGAGGAGCGAAAGCCAGGGGAGCAAACGGG